GUGCAGGUGGGCCCGGAGCCUCAGGGCAGCCUGCAUCUUGCUGGACCUGAGACGUGCCGUGGUUCCGGGGCUGCGGGAAGCGACCCGCGCCCUCCCGCCUGACGGUGCCACUGGGAAGCAGCAGCACGGAAGGGAGAUCCCCGCCGCUGUCUAGGCUCGUUCUGGCGUUCUCUGCAGUGCUCCUUCGGCUCGUCGGUGCCUUCUGAAUUCUCAUCUUGGCCCGCUUAAUGGUUGGCCAAGAGUUCUGUCCCGUCUGGGUUUGUAUCCUCUACAAAUACAAUAAAUAUAUCCCAUUUC